AGCUGCAUUCGGUUAAACCAGGUAUCAUCCUGGGAAAACUUUUCCUUUUUCCUGGAAACACAAAGACAAGUUGAGACAGUUGAUGGUACAACGGCAACGUUGAGGACACUACGGUGGGUGGAUCCUUUUCUCAAGUUCCCACAAAAAUACAGAAAGGGAACUGUGAAAGGAAGCCAUGAUGAAGCUGCCCAAUGAAGACUCCCAUCGUCACACCUUGUAGUCGAGAUCAGCGUUCAUUCUACUAAACAUGUCAUAAACAGCUUCCACAGUGGAAGUGAAGUUGAUGAGAAAC